CCCUUAGAUGUUCUGGGCUGCACGCGCGCUACACUGAUGCGCUCAACGAGUUUAUGAACUUGCCCGGAAGGGUUGGUUAAUCUUUUUAAAACGCAUCGUGAUGGGGAUAGAUUAUUGCAAUUAUUAAUCUUCAACGAGGAAUUCCUAGUAAGCGCGAGUCAUCAGCUCGUGCUGAUUACGUCCCUGCCCUUUGUACACACCGCCCGUCGCUCCUACCGAUUGAGUGCUCAGGUGAAUAAUUCGGACUGCAGCAAUGUUUGGAUCCCGAACGUUGCAGCGGAAAGUUUAGUGAACCUUAUCACUUAGAGGAAGGAGAAGUCGUAACA
rnacentral:rRNA from 1 species